GCCGAGUAUGGCACCGGGUGCCGGCCAUGCCCCUCUGGGCUUGGGGUGUGACAAACUUGCCCUUAUAUGGAUGGAAGUCUGACUUGGACUCCACAACACAAAAAAAGUAGUCACGUCGGAUCCACAUAGGCUCCACGUAGACUCCCAAACCCAAUUCUCUUUUUAACUCGUUUCUCAAUCUCAAUUCUCUUAACCCGUCUAGACUAUUGCUGACACUAAGGCACCAUGUAGUAAUGUGAAAAGCCGGAGUUUUAAUUGCAUCAAGGUACACACAUAAUGCAUGUGAUAAAAUAAGAGGCAUGUAAGAAAAAUUUCUGCAGCAGCAAAAACAAAUGUUUAAUACGGCCAAGGAUUCGUCGUUCUCUCCAGAAGCAUAGAAUUUAUCUGACCAGCAAAGCUUUCUUGAACAUGACAUCUGUUGACACCCAAUUUUGUCCCUCUUUUAUUUAAUUUACUCGGAUUUCUAAAUUUACUGACGAGCUAAAUACUUUAUUUUUCACAAUAUUUUAUUGCUACUACUAUUAAUAUCACUACUUUUAUUUUCAACAUUAUGAGCAUUACUUUAUCAUAAAUUUUAAAUGUUCGUCAUCGUUUCAUUUUUUCCGGUUGGGAAUCGUUGAAUUAAUUACGAGACAACACUUUGUAAAAUCUUUAUUUUUUACAUAUUGAUUAUUAAUUGUCUUUACAUAGUAUAUGUUGUACUAGUUAUUAAAUUAGAAGCCCAAAAUUAAUUAAAUAGCGGAGGAAGGAUCAACAAUUCUCAGCCAAAUUAAUGGCCCAAAAUACAAACACAAUAUUUUCAACCCAACAGACCAGCCCAUUGGAUUAAACUUAAAUCAGCCCACAUUUUACCCGGUCCAGCCCAAACGAAAUUGACCCGAUCCGGCCCACUACAAUUAAAACCCCUAAAACCCUAAUCCCUUCUUUUCUCCACUCACCACCGUCGUUCACCCCUCUCUCUUUCUCCUCUCCUCUCUCUUCUCCCACGCUCCUCUCCACCUUCCUCAUUCCCUGCCACUUCUGUCUCCCCUGUCCCCCACGUUACCCGCUCUCCUCCACUCACCCUUGUUCCCCACUCGCUACACCCCGCCCCUCUUCUUCUUCCAUUUAAAACGCUAAGCACAAUCCUAUAAAAGGGGGAGGAAAGCCACUGAUCGAGGAGGUAUUUUUUUGGUUACAAACAAAAAAAACAACACUGUUGAUAGCAAUCCUUACUUUCUACUUUCUAGCAUUUUCAUUCAAUUCGCCCAAAAGUGAAUACAAAACUUUAGUUCAUAAAAAAUCCGCAAUACUUUCAUUCGAACCCGUUUGGCUCAAGGUUCGGGUCUAUUCAUAACGAGAGAGUAGAUUCGACGUCGUCGACGCCUCAUUUCACUGCACCACCAACAGAGUUUCACUUUGAGACUCAACGACACUUCCUACGGAGUCCGCAUAUCAUCUACCGUCUUCGCUUUUUCACUUUGCCUAAACGAAGAAUUGUCGAGCAUCAUUAUCCCUUCGUGAAAGCCGAAAUGGCUAAAAUCAUUUCGUAUCAUUUUGUUUAUUUGUUGGUGUGACUUAAAUGACUCGUAUGACUAACAUUUACCUAGCUGUGCGAUUAUGGUGAAUACUUAGCCGCUUAUGUUUAAUCGAGCCUAUUUCAUAUUAGGAUGCUUUAAUUAGUAAAUCUAGGUCUUAAAAAUCAAGUGAGUUUAAUUGUUCCUCAUAAGUUUGGCAUUUUUUUUAGUUGGAAGGAAAAA